rnacentral:rRNA from 1 species
AUUGAACGCUGGCGGCAUGCCUUACACAUGCAAGUCGAACGGUAACGGGCCUUCGGGUGCCGACGAGUGGCGAACGGGUGAGUAAUACAUCGGAACGUGCCCGAUCGUGGGGGAUAACGAGGCGAAAGCUUUACUAAUACCGCAUACGAUCUACGGAUGAAAGCAGGGGACCGCAAGGCCUUGCGCGGACGGAGCGGCCGAUGGCGGAUUAGGUAGUUGGUGGGAUAAAAGCUUACCAAGCCGACGAUCUGUAGCUGGUCUGAGAGGAUGAUCAGCCACACUGGGACUGAGACACGGCCCAGACUCCUACGGGAGGCAGCAGUGGGGAAUUUUGGACAAUGGGCGCAAGCCUGAUCCAGCCAUGCCGCGUGCAGGAUGAAGGCCUUCGGGUUGUAAACUGCUUUUGUACGGAACGAAAAGCCUUCUUUUAAUACAGGAGGGUCAUGACGGUACCGUAAGAAUAAGCACCGGCUAACUACGUG